CGGCGGACAGCGGCCGCAAGGCGGGCGAUGCCUCCCGGGAGCCCCCCGCCACCUGGAAUGACUGUGCGCCACCCCCCCAACAGGAGAGACGACAAUGAACAACACAGGCUUCCACCAUCUGGCCUGGAGUGACCGACCCGCCGCAGGGAAGCAUGCUGCGUGGCCGAGGGAUGACCCACAGGGGAGCCUGAAGUCCAGCUGCCAUUGUCACUCUCAGCUGCACACCAAAGUGUGACAGAUAAGCCUUGAGAAACGACCGGCAGCUGCGUCGUGGCCAUCUCCCUCGUCCUGGGACGACGAUGGCGAGGAUGGGGCGCUCAUGGCCUCGUCGUCGGCAAAGUCCUCCUCGUCGUCGUUGUCGUGGCCCCAGUCGCCGGCCGCCGAGGAGGCCGAGGACGAGGAACCAUCCUCGAACAGGUCCAGCCGGUAGCCCAGCAGCUUGGCCUGCUCCAGGAUGUAGUGGUGGAGCGGCAGCUGUGCCCCACACCGCAGUGCUUCCCGCUGCGUAUUCACGUGCAUAUUGCUACUGAUCACACAACGAACCAAGUGACUCAGAAGGCCCACUGAACCAGUCUUAUUAAACAAGCUUCUACUGGCAUCCUUGACCUGCGGUGAAUCAUCCAAUCAUCAGUCUCGGCCACAUCUGGUCUUCGUGACAUCUGAAAUGUUUGACACAUGAACCACACCAAAAGCAAACGUGCCGCUAGACCUUGUGACAUGCAGACUUGAAGCACAGCAGGCAGAAAUAAAAAUUCAUAAAAUGACUGAAACCAUGACAUUGCAUGCAAAACUAAUAAAAUAAACAAAUGGAAACAAAACAGUGAGGAAACCGUCAGCCUGUACAAAGCAGGCAUUUACCCACAUGCAGUCUGGGUUGUGCCCCAAUGGAUGCCAACUUCAUGGCUUAGGUCAUAAUGAUUCUCGUAUCCCGGACCAACAUUAUCCAAGAAAGACUCUGCAUUCAAUUCAACCAUUGAGGCUUUUUAACGCUCACUAAGGUUGAUGAAGUCCACAUUACUGGUACUGUCGCCACAAACAAAAUGUGAUAACUGCAGUCUGCAAUAGCCAUAUCAUUAUUGUAGAAGGCAUAAGUGGUCUAAAUGGUAAUAAUGUGUAUGAGCAGGCUAAAGUACUCUAGCCUCUGAACAACCACAUGAAGUCAACAAACAAUGAAGCCAAGGAAAGCAUAGGGUAAAUUAUUUGUAGUCCUUAAUUGAAAUGUAGAAAUACUAGGUAAGAAAAAUGCAAAUGAAAGCAGGUAAAAAGAUAACAUGCUACCGGCGGGAGCCGAACUAACAUCUUCCAUAUGACGUGGGCAAUGCUCUAGCCAUUGAGCUACAGUGUCUUGCCCACUUCCUUGGUUAUUUGUGUAUGCGUACAAGUUCUGACCCUGAGAGUGAAAGCCAGCACCACUCGUGGCCUUGGUGUCGGAUGUGGCACAUCCCUUUGACCGCAUGCGUCACACAGUAUACGACUUUUAGGAGCACGCAGCUGGCCAAUAAACCCUUGUAUGCUACCUGAAGGCAUCAAAGUUUCCAGAGUCGAAACCGUUGCUAUGCAGGUCUAGUAUACAUACACAUAUAUACCCAAAACGGUGGAUGUGGGAACAGCCAACCGCCGUAGCUCAAUUGGUAGAACAUCGCAUGCAUAAUCCGGAAGAUGUCAGUCCAGCUCUCGCCAGCGACAAGUUAUCUUUUCGUCCACUUUCACCUCCCUUUUCUACAUUUCAAUCAAAAACCCCAAAUACCUUCCCCUAUGCUUUCUUCGGCUUUAUUGCCUGUUGGUUCCAUAUGGUUGUAAGUAACAAGAAUCAGGCCCUAUGGUUACACUUGUUCAGCCUCCGAACAAAUUCCAAUUACAUGAAAAUUGUUAAAAAUGAAGCAGGUCGCUAACCAAGGUCAAAAUAAAAAUAAAGUUACGUUUUGGGAUCCAUAUUGUUCACAUUAAAUUAUGAAAAUAAGUGUUCUUAAACUACCACUGGUUGGCCGCGUUUACCUCUCACACAAAAUAUGACCAACAGAUCACUUCUUGCAAAAGAAAGAAUUCGGGGCAGAACAUCAGCCACAAUAUGGCUUCCAUUGAGGCACCCAGGCAGCUGGCACAAAAUAGCAAUUUAAAAAGGGCAUGCUGUGGAGGAAAAAAACAAGAUAACAAAAGGGGC